AUCAUGGCUCAGGAUAAACGCUGGCGGCGUGCUUAACACAUGCAAGUCGAACGGAGUGGUUCUCCCGAGGAUUGAUGGUGCUUGCACCUGAUUGACUCAUUGAAUCACUUAGUGGCGGACGGGUGAGUAACGCGUGGGUAACCUGCCUCACACAGGGGGAUAACAGUUGGAAACGACUGUUAAUACCGCAUAAGCGCACAUGACCGCAUGGUCGAGUGUGAAAAACUCCGGUGGUGUGAGAUGGACCCGCGUCUGAUUAGCUAGUUGGUGAGGUAACGGCCCACCAAGGCGACGAUCAGUAGCCGGCCUGAGAGGGUGUACGGCCACAUUGGGACUGAGACACGGCCCAAACUCCUACGGGAGGCAGCAGUGGGGAAUAUUGGACAAUGGGGGAAACCCUGAUCCCAGCGACGCCGCGUGAACGAAGAAGUAUCUCGGUAUGUAAAGUUCUGUCAGCAGGGAAGAUAAUGACGGUACCUGACUAAGAAGCACCGGCUAAAUACGUGCCAGCCGCGGC
rnacentral:rRNA from 1 species